GGGAUAGCAGCUGGAAACGGCUGGUAAUACCGCAUAAGCGCACAGUACCACAUGGUACAGUGUGAAAAACUCCGGUGGUAUGAGAUGGACCCGCGUCUGAUUAGCUUGUUGGCGGGGUAACGGCCCACCAAGGCAACGAUCAGUAGCCGACCUGAGAGGGUGACCGGCCACAUUGGGACUGAGACACGGCCCAGACUCCUACGGGAGGCAGCAGUGGGGAAUAUUGCACAAUGGAGGAAACUCUGAUGCAGCGACGCCGCGUGAGUGAAGAAGUAGUUCGCUAUGUAAAGCUCUAUCAGCAGGGAAGAUAGUGACGGCACCUGACUAAGAAGCUCCGGCUAAAUACGUGCCAGCAGCCGCGGUAAUACGUAUGGAGCAAGCGUUAUCCGGAUUUACUGGGUGUAAAGGGAGUGUAGGUGGCCAGGCAAGUCAGAAGUGAAAGCCCGGGGCUCAACCCCGGGACUGCUUUUGAAACUGCAGGGCUAGAGUGCAGGAGGGGCAAGUGGAAUUCCUAGUGUAGCGGUGAAAUGCGUAGAUAUUAGGAGGAACACCAGUGGCGAAGGCGGCUUGCUGGACUGUAACUGACACUGAGGCUCGAAAGCGUGGGGAGCAAACAGGAUUAGAUACCCUGGUAGUCCACGCCGUAAACGAUGA
rnacentral:rRNA from 1 species